AUGCCAACAGCCACAGGGAGGAUGCAAGGCUCUGGGCUCCUGAGAAGAUAUCCAUCCAUCACCAUCCCCUCUCCAGCGGAUCCAUUUAUAUCUCUGAGUCCCCAAAAGAAGUGGCUUACGAUGAUCAACAACCUAACCUACCAAGGCUUGUUUUUUAAGAAUGGAGUUUCUGCUUCCUGCAGAGCAAAGAGCAAAGGUGAGCUGGCCAGAUGACUUCCUCAGUCAAGAGCAAUUAUAACGGAUACAUAACACACUCUGG
rnacentral:lncRNA from 1 species